rnacentral:lncRNA from 1 species
UCUUCUUUUCCACAGCCAAGAGUUGGGCAUCUUCCUUUUUUCACAUGUCAAGAGGUGUUGCUUUAUCUUCAAGAGUGAAGAUCGAGGAGAAGAAGAAGAAGACUGCUGAUCAAGAAGUUGAUCUUGCAGUGCAGAUCAAGGCGUUGAUCAAAGUGUUCAAGGCUAAGAUUCUUCUUGAAAAAAAAUCUUCUAUGAAGAGAAAUCAGUUUGAGAUCGAUUUUGAUGGAUACCCAUAGAGGUUGGACACAUGUGCAGCUCGAGCGUCUAUGAAUCCGUGAUCAUCAGAAGUGGUGU